rnacentral:lncRNA from 1 species
AGGCCCCUCUGCUCCGCUGCGACUGCUGCUGCUUCCGCCGGCUGCUGCUGCUGCUGGCGGCCUGCCGCGCGUAGGCCGCGUCGUGGUGCAUCGGCUCGUAGCGGCAGUCCUCGCUGCAGAACGGGGUGUCGCCCUUGUACAUGAAGAUGUCGCUGUUGCAGGUGAGCGGCUUGGAGCAGAGCGCGCACGCGUUCAACGCGGGCAGGCGGGGCUCGCCGAUCGGCUCGGUGUCGAAGAAGAAGCCAGCACAGGCGAGCGAGGUGGCCAUGGUUGUUGCGCUUCGUUUUGGGUGGUGGCAGGUGGGCGGCGGACGACUCUACAAGACAAGAACUGCAAGGCAGGUCUACAGAGUUCAAAGCUGAGCUCGGCCGGCGGGUAGCGGGGACGCGGGGUAUAUAUGGCGGGUGGAUAGGGGCCGGGACGUCUCGGCAGCACCGCCGUUGCCAGGCUGCGGAUGCAUACGAGCUGAAACGGGAAACGGGCAAACCGCGGUGCGAGAUGGCCCAUUGAUCAGGGAGAGACCGCGCGUCGGACUCGGCCUUCCCAGCCCGCGGUUUUUGGUGGACGGAGUGGUUCGGCUGGCUCUUCUGUCUGGUGGGCCAUGAUGUGGUGAUAGGCUGACUCGGCUUGAUAUGGCAGCAGCUGUGUCUGUGGCUUGGUGGCCCGCACACCCGGGUCCACCUGUACGAGAACAGGCCAAGGAGGCGGGUCCGCUCACGUAUGACGUGGUGGCGGGUUCGGAAUCCCAACAAAAGACGAAUCGCGCCAAAACAAAAGCGUCUCUGUUUUUAUUUACGCACAAGCAAAAACCCUGUGCUAUCGUAUAUUCGUAUCAGUAUGAGCCUAUCACGGUCAGCGCAAGUGAAUCCAUUGCCCUUAUCUGAAUUAGAAAUACUGUGAGUUUGCUGCGCUUUGUGCAGAAAAAUCUGGAGGCAAAUAUUCUGACGCACUGUGAUCGAUCGGGAUCAUAUUCUGGAGUUGUAUUGAUUUGCAUUGCAUCAAAUUAACACUACCGCGAUACGGUGCUGGUGCAAACUCCCAAACUUUGGCUUACACUAACCUAACCUAGAUAUCCUAUGAGGCCUGAUAAUUGGUGCCCCCAGCCUUUUUCCCCCAACACGCGAUGUGGGCGCCCCACAUUGCCAUGCGGCCAUGCAUGCCCACAAGCACAUACUCUGAGGCCUUGUUUCAGAUUUUCCAUCAAAUCAAAUAUUUAGACGUAUGCAUUAAGUAUUAAAUAUAGAUUAAAAUAAAAACUAAUUGCACAGUUUGGUCGGAAUUGACGAUACGAAUCUUUUGAAAUCUAGUUAGUAUAUAAUCAGAUAAUAUUUGACAAAUACAAACAAAAGUAGUAUUAUUUCUAUUUUGAAAAAAAAUUGGAACUAAACAAGUUGGGCACUUGCCCUUGCAAGUUGCAAGCUGCCAUCGCUCACACAACUUCAGCAUGGGCAUUGUCUAGAGGUCUCCUUCCUUGAAGAGAGAUUCUUUAGGGAGAGUUGGUGCAUGCACGCCACGAGGCACGGCGUCAGGGUCCUGUGUGUGAGCAUCCGUUGGGACCAGUGGCAGGUGGCGCUUAACCUAUGCGUCCGCGACGAGGUGGUGGUCACACGCAGACGCAGUGGCUGAAAGAUGCACAUGCACGCGAUCUGUGGUUGCGCCGUCGGCACUGAAUUUACUACUGUCGCUAUGGUAUAGCCUUGACAAACUUUGGACAGAAUCAUCAUAUACUACACUGAUUAUAAAACUCAUUGUUAAACCACCCCGUAUCCGUGUAUCGCCAGGUUUCAACUUCGGCGGCUGUGCACGCUUUUGGAGUGGGCACGAGGCACCUCUUGCGAGCGCAUGCUCGCAGAUCCCAUCGGCCAGGCAGCGCGGGGCAGGUUUCGCCCGGGGGAGCAGCAUUUCUGGAGAUACGCGCCCAGUUUUGUUUAUGCUUGCAACUGUGUAUACGUGGGUGGCUUCACAGACAAGCAUAAUCGCAUUUGAUAAUUGGAGGUCACGGAUGCUCCAAAACAUAAAUGGCCGUCCCGUGGUGGCACGCGAGCAGUUCGGCACAUCCGCAGCCAGCAACAGACGCACAACUCACACCUGCGGGCUGCGGCAUGGCGCGAAAUGUUUGGAACGCUCGCCUCUUCCACUGUCAAAAGAUAAACGAUGGGAAGCUUUCGAAUCGCAUCACACAGACACAGCUGUUUGGCGUUGAGUGGAGAAUGACGCGUAAAAGUGCGUGCGGGGGCGCUGGUUUUGGCGUGGACGGCGAGCCAGGCCAUACGUGCGGGGCUGCUGCUGGCUGCUGCGCAGGCGGUGAGUCACGCACAACAAGGCAACCGAUGACUCGACACAUGGACCACGGCUUUCUCCAUACCCAUGGGCCCAUGAUUGGUUGAGUGGGAGGGGACUGACUUUCCGGUGACUCAGCGAUGAGUAGUGAGACGUUACACAAAAGAUAAAGAAAACUGUGGAGUUUCAACGUAUCUGCUGCAAUGAUUUAUGCCAUUUUGUAUCUUCUUGUUUGAGGCCUUGUUUAGUUCAUCCUGAAACCAAACUGUUUUCAAGAUUUCCCAUCACAUCGAAUCUUGUGGCACAUACAUAAAACACUAAAUAUAGAUAAAAAUAAAAACUAAUUACAUAGUUUAGCUAACUUUUCACUUUUCGGAACUAAACAAGGCCUGAGUCGUACAAGAGAUGGUAAUUGCAUCGACAGCUCUGGUUACGCAACUGGAACACUUGCUCAUUUGUUUUGUCGACAUCUCAGUUCGACGAAACCGCUGUAGUGUAGUAAAAAUUCACGUCAGAUCAUUGCUCGCUCUCAGAUUUCCGUUUACUCUGCAGGUUUCUAACGGAUCCAAGACGCAACUUGUCAGUCUGUGGCUUGGGGAUGGGGGAUCGGCAACCAAAAGAACUGGAACUGAUGAUUGCUCACUCUGGUGCCGUUUGCAUGACUGGAGAAGUGGAGAUUCCAGAAAUCUGGAUCAUUUAGCGUGAAAUGAAUUCAAAGAUUUUUAAGACCUGGAGUGAAAAAACUUUGAUAAUCUUUAGAUGGGUACAAACUUUUUAUCAGUCUCAAAAUCUUUAAUCUACUGUAUUAUCAAACGGGCCUCAUCAUAUUCGUGGCGCGGUCAAAGGAGACCUGGCAUCGUUUGCCAAGCUUCAUCUCAUCGUCUGGCCAGCAAUGAAAGCACACACAAAGUACCGUGCGGUUAGUGCGAAAGCAAAUAAGCAGUCACUCAAAACACUUGAAAGCAUGCACAAAGCAGUCAGGAAAUCAUGAACAAGAUUUCUGCGAUCAAAAUUUAUGGGCUAUCAUAACUUCUUGAAAUGCCGCGCGUACAUUUACAAGCCGAUGGUGCUUCCGCACACACCCUCACGCCUCAACCUCUAGCACACACAACCCAAGAGAUCCCAUCAGGGAAAACAGAACCAAGGAGAGGGAGAGCACGCAUGGCAUCGAUCUGAGUUUCCAACCCCGCAGAUGAGGCUGUCAUAAUCGCCUUCUUCAGUCUCCAGAUCCACCCCCGCUUGCCUCUGUUCCCGGCACAAAACUCGUUGCGCGGCGCGGCGCCGGCCGCCGGCGGCCAGCCAGGAGCGCCUCCCCCAGCGGGAUCUCUUGCAGCUGUAGCUGCUCGAUGAACCAGCACGACCUCCUCCUUCUUCUUCUUCUUCCUUGGCCUCACUGUGCUUUGCCUGUCAACUAGCUGGCCACGUACACGUCCGCCUUGGCGGCCACAGAGGCUCCCCUGCUCCGCUGCGACUGCUGCUGCUUCCGCCGGCUGCUGCUGGCGGCCUGCCGCGCGCAGGCCGCGUCGUGGUGCAUCUGCUCGUAGCGGCAGUCCUCGCUGCAGAACGGGGUGUCGCCCUUGUACAUGAAGAUGUCGCUGUUGCGGGUGAGCGGCUUGGAGCAGAGCGCGCAGGCGUCCAGCGCGUGCCGCCC